rnacentral:other from 1 species
UCGUCCGUCGCGUUCGCGGGAGUUUUAUAUUUCCUUGAACCGAUGCUCUUGGAGCUAGGGCUUGGAAGAUCGUCCGGCUGGUGCGAUCGUCUCGCGUCAGAUGAACCCGAAGCCGGACUGACCUCGCCCACCUGAAUCCCCUGGGUUCAGGAAUGCGGCUCCCGGUCCGUGGCGGACACC